rnacentral:rRNA from 1 species
AUUGAACGCUGGCGGCAGGCUUAACACAUGCAAGUCGAGCGAGCGGCGGACGGGUGCGUCAUGUCUGGGAAACUGCCUGAUGGAGGGGGAUAACUACUGGAAACGGUAGCUAAUACCGCAUACCAUCAGAUGUUCCCAGAUGCGAUUAGCUAUUAGGUGGGGUAAUGGCUCACCUAGGCGACGAUCCCUAGAUGGUCUGAGAGGAUGACCAGCCACACUGGAACUGAGACACGGUACAGACUCCUACGGGAGGCAGCAGGGGGGAAUAUUGCACAAUGGGCGCAAGCCUGAUACAGCCAUGCCGCGUGUGUGAAGAAGGCCUUCGGGUUGUAAAGCACUUUCAGCGAGGAGGCGUUACUCGCAGAAGAAGCACCGGCUAACUCCGUGCCAGCAGCCGCGGUAAUAC